rnacentral:rRNA from 1 species
GAUGAACGCUGGCGGCGUGCCUAAUACAUGCAAGUCGAGCGAACAGACGAGGAGCUUGCUCCUCUGACGUUAGCGGCGGACGGGUGAGUAACACGUGGAUAACCUACCUAUAAGACUGGGAUAACUUCGGGAAACCGGAGCUAAUACCGGAUAAUAUAUUGAACCGCAUGGUUCAAUAGUGAAAGACGGUUUUGCUGUCACUUAUAGAUGGAUCCGCGCCGCAUUAGCUAGUUGGUAAGGUAACGGCUUACCAAGGCAACGAUGCGUAGACGACCUGAGAGGGUGAUCGGCCACACUGGAACUGAGACACGGUCCAGACUCCUACGGGAGGAAGCAGUAGGGAAUCUUACGCAAUGGGCGAAAGCCUGACGGAGCAACGCCGCGUGAGUGAUGAAGGUCUUCGGAUCGUAAAACUCUGUUAUUAGGGAAGAACAAAUGUGUAAGUACCUAUGCACGUCUUGACGGUACCUAAUCAGAAAGCCACGGCUAACUACGUG